UCUCGUACUUAAACGAGCCAUUUUUGCAUAAAGAGGGCGAGAGAACAAUUUCCUAACACCCACAGAGAGACCAUAACCAUAAUUCCCAGAACAAUCCUCAUCCCAAUUUUUCCUCCAUUCCUCCAUGGACCAACAACAACCACCACCACCACAAACUCCUACACCUCCCACCACCACCGCUGAACCACCCGUACAACCACCACCGCCACAACAACAAGAAUCACCAUCACCGUUACCCUCCACCACCUCAACUCCUCCAACCCCUACAUCAAACCCUAACCCUAACUCUAAUCAGCCCCAACCCCCAAAACCCACACUCACACCACAACCCAGACCGACCUCAUUUUCCAGACCCUGGCAGCAGCAACAACAACAACAGCCCUCACAUUUUUCUCACUUCUCUUCCCUUCCUUCUUCCCCUUCUUCUUCUCCGUCUUCCUCUGCUUCCGCGCCGCAGAGGGGUGGCAUUGCCCUUGGCGUUCCGGCGCCCCGCCCUGCGGCGUCUUCUUCGCAACCCACACCGUCCUUCUCGGCUUCUUUCGGUCAGCAGUUUGGUAGCUUGGGCCGGACUGGAGUUAACGUGCCUGAUUCAUUAUCUAAUUCCAGUCCAUUGCAGGCAAGGCAACAAGUGCAAGGAAUUCAGGGGAUGGGAAUGAUAGGAUCACUAGGUUCUGGUGCACAAUUGCGGCCUGGUGGGAUUUCUGUUCAACACCAUCAGCAGAGGCCCACACAACAAUCAUCCCUUCGUCCACCACCAUCGCCCCCAAGUAGCCAACCCCCUGCUACCCAGAAUUUUCAAGGUCAAGGUCUUAUGAGAGUCUCACCGGUGGGCUCUCCUGGGUCUACUGCACCAAAUGCAUCACAAAGCAUUCAGUCCCUUAAUCAGCCAUGGUUAUCUUCUGGAUCACAAGGAAAGCCUCCUUUGCCACCCCCCUCUUCAUAUAGACCUCAGUUGAGCUCACCAUCCAUGCAGCAAAGGGUACAUAUUCCUCAGCAACAUGUUCCUUUGUCAACAACUUCGCAGCAACAGCAUGUGUCAUCUGUGCAGCCACAACAACCUAAACCAUCUCAUCAGCCGCAGGAGUCUUAUGGGCAACAAUUUCCCUCAUCAAGGGUCCCUCAAUCUUUACCACAUCAACAACAAAUUUCAAGGGCCCAGACUUCUGCAGUUCAUAAGCCUUCCUCUCUUUCAAUGGUACAACCUAUCACUGUCCAGCAAGCGACCCAGAGUAGAGUAGUCAGUGCAGAAAGUGAUGAAUCUAAUAAUCAGAUUGUCAGCAAAAGAAGCAUCAAUGAGCUUGUUAACCAGAUUGAUCCAUCAGAGAGGUUGGAUCCUGAAGUCGAAGAUAUUCUUGUGGAUAUUGCAGAAGAUUUUGUGGAGUCUAUUAUUACAUUUGGUUGCUCAUUAGCAAAGCAUCGGAAGUCAGAUACAUUGGAAGCAAAAGACAUACUUCUACAUGUUGAACGAAAUUGGAAUAUGACACUUCCUGGGUUCAGCUGUGAUGAGAUUAAGACCUAUAGAAAACCGCUUACAAAUGAUAUCCACAAGGAGCGACUUGCAGUGAUAAAGAAAUCAGUCAUGGCAACCGAGUUAACAAGUACUAAAACUUCUGCUGGACAAGCUGCUGUAAAUUCAAAGAGUAACCUGGGAAAGAUACCUGCCAAUAUCAUAGGCUCUACAUGAGGCAGUUUUUGAUGGUGCUCCAUGUUAGAUUCUUUUCUGCUAUGAAGGUAUUUCUUGCUGCUCUGAGAUCCUCUCCACAACCGUUGAUGAAACGGAAGCCUGAAAUUAUUGUUGAUAAGCCAUAGCCACAAUCAUUUUCUCAUCUCUCUCGGUUUUCUCAUUUUCAUUUCUUUCACUGCUUUAAAAUAUUUUAAAGGAAAUAAAACAAACAGUGGAUAGAAUUCUCGUCCUCUAGUUGUCUAGACAGAAAGCUAUAAGCUUGAAAGACAUCAUCUUUUCAAGAACCAAAUAGUGUUAAACAUGCAAGACUCAAAUGAGAAAUGUGUGGGGUUUAACAAGUUGCUGAAAUAGGUAAUUUCUAGCUGGUACGAUAUUUGCU